GACGAACGCUGGCGGCGUGCUUAACACAUGCAAGUCGAACGGAAAGGCCCCUUCGGGGGUACUCGAGUGGCGAACAGGUGAGUAACACGUGAGUAACCUGCCCUUGACUUCGGGAUAACUUCAGGAAACUGGGGCUAAUACCGGAUAGGAAUCCUUGCUGCAUGGUGGGGGUUGGAAAGCUUCGGCGGUUUUGGAUGGACUGGCGGCUUAUCAGCUUGUUGGUGGGGUAGUGGCUUACCAAGGCUUUGACGGGUAGCCGGCCUGAGAGGGCGACCGGCCACCUUGGGACUGAGAUACGGCCCAGACUCCUACGGUAGGCAGCAGUGGGGAAUAUUGCACAAUGGGCGGAAGCCUGAUGCAGCAACGCCGCGUGCGGGAUGACGGCCUUCGGGUUGUAAACCGCUUUCAGCAGGGGCGAAGCUUGUGGUGACGGUACCUGCAGAAGAAGCACCGGCUAACUACGUG
rnacentral:rRNA from 1 species